CCUCUUUUAGCAGGGAAGAAGCGAAAGUGACGGUACCUGCAGAAAAAGCACCGGCUAACUACGUGCCAGCAGCCGCGGUAAUAUGUAGGGUGCAAGCGUUAUCCGGAAUUAUUGGGCGUAAAGAGCUCGUAGGCGGUUUGUCCGCGUUCUGCUGUGAAAUCCGGAGGCUCAACCUCCGGCCUGCAGUGGGUACGGGCAGACUAGAGUGCGGUAGGGGAGAUUGGAAUUCCUGGUGUAGCGGUGGAAUGCGCAGAUAUCAGGAGGAACACCGAUGGCGAAGGCAGAUCUCUGGGCCGUAACUGACGCUGAGGAGCGAAAGGGUGGGGAGCAAACAGGCUUAGAUACCCUGGUAGUCCACCCCGUAAACGUUGGGAACUAGUUGUGGGGUCCAUUCCACGGAUUCCGUGACGCAGCUAACGCAUUAAGUUCCCCGCCUGGGGAGUACGGCCGCAAGGCUAAAACUCAAAGGAAUUGACGGGGACCCGCACAAGCGGCGGAGCAUGCGGAUUAAUUCGAUGCAACGCGAAGAACCUUACCAAGGCUUGACAUAUACGAGAACGGGCCAGAAAUGGUCAACUCUUUGGACACUCGUAAACAGGUGGUGCAUGGUUGUCGUCAGCUCGUGUCGUGAGAUGUUGGGUUAAGUCCCGCAACGAGCGCAACCCUCGUUCUAUGUUGCCAGCACGUAAUGGUGGGAACUCAUGGGAUACUGCCGGGGUCAACUCGGAGGAAGGUGGGGAUGACGUCAAAUCAUCAUGCCCCUUAUGUCUUGGGCUUCACGCAUGCUACAAUGGCCGGUACAAAGGGCUGCAAUACCGCGAGGUGGAGCGAAUCCCAAAAAGCCGGUCCCAGUUCGGAUUGAGGUCUGCAACUCGACCUCAUGAAGUCGGAGUCGCUAGUAAUCGCAGAUCAGCAACGCUGCGGUGAAUACGUUCCCGGGGUCUUGUACACACCGCCCGUCAAGUCAUGA
rnacentral:rRNA from 1 species